rnacentral:rRNA from 1 species
AACAGGAUUAGAUACCCUGGUAGUCCACGCCGUAAACGAUGAGUACUAGGUGUAGGAGGUAUCGACUCCUUCUGUGCCGCAGUUAACACAAUAAGUACUCCGCCUGGGAAGUACGGUCGCAAGAUUAAAACUCAAAGGAAUUGACGGGGGCCCGCACAAGCAGCGGAGCAUGUGGUUUAAUCCGAAGCAACGCGAAGAACCUUACCUAGACUUGGCAUCUCCUGAAUAGCCGGUAACUCGGCGAAGCCUUUCGGGGCAGGAGGACAGGUGGUGCAUGGUUGUCGUCAGCUCGUGUCGUGAGAUGUUGGGUUAAGUCCCGCAACGAGCGCAACCCUUAUUAUUAGUUGCUACCAUUUAGUUGAGCACUCUAAUGAGACUGCCGUGGUUAACGCGGAGGAAGGUGGGGAUGACGUCAAAUCAUCAUGCCCCUUAUGUCUAGGGCUACACACGUGCUACAAUGGUGAGUACAAAGAGACGCAAUAUCGUGAGGUGGAGCAAAACUCAAAAACUCAUCCCAGUUCGGAUCGUAGGCUGAAACUCGCCUACAUGAAGCCGGAGUUGCUAGUAAUCGCGAAUCAGCAUGUCGCGGUGAAUACGUUCCCGGGCCUUGUACACACCGCCCGUCACACCAUGAGAGUCUGCAACACCCGAAGUCCGUGAGGUAACCCGUAAGGGAGCCAGCGGCCGAAGGUGGGGCCGAUGAUUGGGGUGAAGUCGUAACAAGGUAACC